GUCCCAUCGUCUAUCGGUUAGGACACAUGGUUUUCAUCCAUGAAAGAGGGGUUCGAUUCCCCUUGGGGACGCCA
rnacentral:tRNA from 1 species